GUGACCUCAAAUCAGGUAGGACUACCCGCUGAACUUAAGCAUAUCAAUAAGCGGAGGAAAAGAAACUAACAAGGAUUCCCCUAGUAACUGCGAGUGAAGCGGGAAAAGCUCAAAUUUAAAAUCUGGCGGUCUUUUGGCUGUCCGAGUUGUAAUCUAGAGAAGUGUUAUCCGCGCUGGACCGUGUACAAGUCUCCUGGAAUGGAGCAUCAUAGAGGGUGAGAAUCCCGUCUUUGACAUGGGCUGCCAGGGCUUUGUGAUGCGCUCUCAAAGAGUCGAGUUGUUUGGGAAUGCAGCUCAAAAUGGGUGGUAAAUUCCAUCUAAAGCUAAAUAUUGGCGAGAGACCGAUAGCGAACAAGUACCGUGAGGGAAAGAUGAAAAGAACUUUGGAAAGAGAGUUAAACAGUACGUGAAAUUGCUGAAAGGGAAACGCUUGAAGUCAGUCGCGUCGUCCAGGGAUCAACCUUGCUUUUGCUUGGUGCACUUUCUGGUUUGACGGGUCAGCAUCAAUUUUGACUAUUGGAAAAAGGCUGAGGGAAUGUGGCAUCUUUGGAUGUGUUAUAGCCCUUGGUCACAUGCAAUGGUUGGGAUUGAGGAACUCAGCACG
rnacentral:rRNA from 1 species